CUAUAGGGUUUAUUUACUGAGGUCCCCAAAGGCCUUGAUUAAGUAGUUACCAUACUUGGAAGUUAGUCCUAUACGUUAGUUUCGAUGUCCUGUAAUCUCAGAGUAUUUAAGUAGAAGCUAUCUUACUUAGGAGGAAAAAAAAAUGAGGUUUUGUCAUUUGCAAGCUAAUUUAAUGUUUGAGUCCAACCAGCAAACUCACUUUGCUUUCUACCAAAUAGUUAGUUUUCAGUAGCAAGAUUCAGCGUGCUUGACUCCAAAGCUGCUGGCAGUCUAAGUGUUAUCUAUCCAAAUUCUUGUAUUUCAGAGAACAAAAAACCCAAUUUCUCCUUUUAUAAAUUUAAUCCAAUGUAAACACCAACUUUCAAGGUUUGUCCGGGGAUGAUAGUUACUUCUUUUUCACUUUUUCCAUGUUGAAGCUAUUCUUGGAUGUCAGCAAGCAGGAUUGAACCUCAGGAGCAUAUGAGGCCACUGGAAAAUACUUCACAAUCUUUGAGUCUUUCUGGGUCACUCAGUAUUUGAUUAUCCAAACUAAUUCUGGGCAGGGAAAGCAUGAAUAAUUAAAUUGUACAAACUCUCGUCCCUUAUAUUGGCUGAAGACUUCAGCCUUCUCAAACUAUUUUUCCAGGAGAACUAGAAAGUAGAAUGUUGUGUCUCCUGGCUUUACUCUUUUUCCUCUGUUUUUCCAAAGAGGUAUGGACAAAUGGCAAAACGUGUCCCUCCCAAGUACCCUGUCCUGUCUGCCAUGGAGUGGUAUCUAUAAUGAGAAAAAAACCCCCCACAGAUCUAGGAAAUAAUUUCCUGAAAAAGUAGACUAAUCUGUUCUAGAACUUCCUGGGUAUAAGAAGGAAGACAGAACUUCAGCCAGAAUUUGGCUUCUGGCUUUUCCUUUUCUUGAUCAUUUACCAAUAAUCUUAAAGGCUAUUUUCCUUAAAGGCUUUCUUCCCAUUACAGGCUUUUUUGGCACUCAGAAGUAACAAUGAAAAUAAACAUUUAACAGAUGGUCCCAGCAGUUUCCCUGAUGGACACACAGUACAAAAGGAAAGCACAUAUAAUUGAGUUAGAUUGUCUCUUUAUUUUAUUUCCCACCAAAUAUUCUCCUGGUCACAGUUUUGUUGACGUUGUUGUCUCUGCCUUUUUUCUCUGUGGUCCCUCACAUUCAAUGUCUGAAGCAUUCUCCAAGGUCAUUGGGUGCCUCCCUUAGUCCCACCUCUACACCCCAGAGGACAGUGCCUCGGAUGGGCAGAACAAAUGGCUUCACCCCAGCUCUCUGCAGAGGUUUGCAGGAAAAAUUAGGGAGGUUUCCCACAUCUGCAUCUGGUUCUUCCAUGACACCAGAGGUCAUAGGGUAGAAGUAAGUCAAGGAAUAUUAGCAAGAAGAGGAAGAAAGACAAUCGGAAUAUCCUACAUGCUCUUUAUUGAUUAGGAAAAUGAGAAACACCUAGGGUAGAAAGGUCAGCCUGAGGUUAUAGGGACAGCCCAAGACAUAUUAAAUGACCGCAACUGGGAGUCUAGCUUCUUUCUCCACAUGCCCUGCAGAUGAUAUAUGAGUUCAAGACCAGGAUGUUCACAGACAUGAAAAGGGCACAUUAUCUAAAUAGUUACAGAAAGCCAAGCCAAAUUCUGAAUCUGAGCAUUCCAAGACAUGAAGGAACAAGCAGUGAGUCACCAAUCCUAGGACUACAUGAGGAAGAACACUCAAGCCAAAUGAAGCCCAGGCCCAGGCCCCAGUGAGAAAGAUUCACAGCAAGCAGGAGAUGCUGGUGAGCAGCAGAGUCCUGCACAGGCCGUGGCCCAAACCAACAGCAAAACCAAAUAAGACUCGUGAACUAAGGUUUGAGACAGCUGAUGACAGCCCUGCUUUUACAACUCUUCAAGGGGUGUGAGCAGGCCAAGGCUGAAUGACAUGCUGGAAACCCAGGAGAAGCAAGGGUUUCUUGCAAAUUUUUCCAAGUGUUAGACUUCCUGUGGUCCUGUGGGCACCUGUGAUUUGGGGAAGGGUAACACUUCAAGUUUUUAUCUUAAAGGCAAAUACAUACUGACUUGGAAAUGUCCAGUGUUACAGCAAAAAGGGAUGAAAUGGAAAUAGGAAGGGAGGAGGAAGGAGAAAGCAUUCAGUACUUUCUAAGAGGUCAUAUAUACAGCCUGGUUUCCUGAGUUGAUGGAUGUAUUAACUCAACUUACUGUGGUAAUCAUAACACUACAAUAUUAUACGAAGUUUAUAUAAACAAAACUAUAAAACAACAUAGUGGCAAGUCUUGCUGGAAGGAUGAAUGGUUUAAAGGUUUAAUAGUUCUUCCCACCCCUGAAAUAUACCUCCUCCUCUUGCUUCUGGUUUAUUAAUGGAGAAUAAACAUUUUGACAAUUUGAGAGAAAAUUAGAAAUGCAAAUACUGGAUGAAACAGUAUAUAUGUUCACAUUCCCACAAAGCUCUGUUGGGUCUUUCCCUGAAAGUUCUGGACAGAUCACCAGUUGUUGAAGCAAACAGGGCAGAAGGAGGGGUCUCAAUAGACUGAUGGCAGAUCCAAAAUACAGGUUCUGCUAUCCUGGUGAUCCUCUAAAAUGAAUCUGUAAUUCCGUUAUGACACUGAGAGCCUGGUAGCCAUAUUUGCAUCAGCAACAUGUGCAUUUAUAAAAACCUGUUUUAUUUUUAAAAAUGGGAAGAAUUUAUAUUGAGCUACAAAAUCAGAGCUUACUCACCUGAGAAUGGAGCAGAAAGCCUGUUGUCUUUUAUCAUUGACUUGAGAGCUACAUUCCUUUGAAUUCUUGGAUACAAUAUGCAAAAGGCAGUGGACAGAAAUAUCAAAUCCUUGGCAAGAUCCAUUACUAUAUAAUCUCCAUCAUGGAACCUACUGAAACAAGUGAGAAACUGUUCCCUUCAUGUAACAAUUUGGUAGAAGAAAGGAAACAGUCAAGCCUCUUCUGGAAGGUAAGAGGCUGCUCUGCUUCCUGAAGAUAGGGUGGCUGAGAAACCAACCUGUCUGUACAAGGAGAAGCCAACAUACUAGAAUGCUGUUGUGUUUAAUCCAAAGUGAUACCAAGACAAGAACCUAAGGUGAUUCAGAAUCUAAAAAUGUAUUCUGCCAACAGACUGGGUGGCAGGCUCCCCGGAAAUCUGGCUAUGCUUGAAAAGAAUCUGCUGAGGAACACUGGGCUCUACCCUCAACACACACUCUGACAAGCUUCCCUCUCCAGACAUGCGGUGCCAGUGACUUCUGACUGCCAAGACAUCAGCCUGCACACUCUUCUCUGCCUCCUUCCCCAUCUCCACAGGAUGAGAAAAUGGAGGUGUUGAUUCGCCAGGCAACAUGGAAUCACAUGACAGAAACUCUGGUUUUGGCAGUGUGGGAAGGAGGGAAUGGAGGCAGGGAAUGGAGAAUAGAUUCUUGGAAUAGUUCAGGCAGGGAGUCAGAGAAUCUAGACUAGGCUGCUGCAGCAAGAAUAAAGUAGAAUGACUGUUCCCAACAUCUCCUAAGGUUACACAUAGCUGUUGCAGGAAAACAGAAGGCUAGAACUGCCUGAAGAGAGAAGGAUCCAAGAAGAAAUGGAGCCCCAAGCAAAGAAGGGAUUUUCUAUCACUGAAGACUCCAUUAUACUUGGAGCUAAUAUGCCCUCGAGUGUGUUUAGGCUCUCUUCAGCAAUGUAGUGUAUUGAGUGCUAAAUUGCAUCAUUGUAUUGCUUCUGCCUUAUGGCACUGGUGAAGAAACCAGAACCCUAUUUCCCAGAAUUAUUUAAUCUGGUCUUGAGUUACCAUACCAGGCCUGCAUCUAAAUAAGAUCUAAAUAAGAAUUUGUAUCUACAAAUGUUGUUGCUUUUUAAAUAAUAGUCACAAUGUUCAUUGAAGGAAACAUAGGCAAUCCAUACAAAGAUCCAUAUACCAAAAUUACCUAUAAACUCACAAACAAAAAGUCACUUUUAACACUUUAUUGUCCCCUUUCAGUGUUGUCUUAAUGUGCACGUGUGUGUUUUAUUUUUUUGUAUGUGCAUUCUUUUUUCUUCAAAUAAGAAUCUUUUAA